GAGUUUGAUCGUGGCUCAGAUUGAACGCUGGCGGCAUGCCUUACACAUGCAAGUCGAACGGCAGCACGGGAGCUUGCUCCUGGUGGCGAGUGGCGAACGGGUGAGUAAUGCAUCGGAACGUAUCCUGGAGUGGGGGAUAACGUAGCGAAAGUUACGCUAAUACCGCAUAUUCUGUGAGCAGGAAAGCGGGGGACCUUCGGGCCUCGCGCUCUUGGAGCGGCCGAUGUCGGAUUAGCUAGUUGGUGAGGUAAAGGCUCACCAAGGCGACGAUCCAUAGCAGGUCUGAGAGGAUGAUCUGCCACACUGGAACUGAGACACGGUCCAGACUCCUACGGGAGGCAGCAGUGGGGAAUUUUGGACAAUGGGGGCAACCCUGAUCCAGCCAUGCCGCGUGAGUGAAGAAGGCC
rnacentral:rRNA from 1 species